rnacentral:misc_RNA from 1 species
AAUAAUGGUGAGACGUAGCAGGGGAGCUGAAAAGCUCGCCGGAUUUCUUGUUGACCGGUCUUGCAGCCC